AACGAACGCUGGCGGCGUGGAUAAGACAUGCAAGUCGAACGCUCGUUCCGGGGUAGCAAUAUUCCGGAGCGGGAGUGGCGCAAGGGUGCGUAACACGUGGGUCAUUUGCCGUGAAGCUGGGAACAACUCGUUGAAAGACGAGCUAAUACCCAAUGUGCUCCGCAAGGAGUAAAGCCGGGGACCGCAAGGCCUGGCACUUCACGAUAAGCCCGCGGCCUAUCAGCUAGUUGGCGGGGUAAAAGCCCACCAAGGCUAAGACGGGUAGCUGGUCUGAGAGGACGACCAGCCACACUGGAACUGAGACACGGUCCAGACACCUACGGGUGGCAGCAGUCGAGAAUUUUUCACAAUGGGCGCAAGCCUGAUGGAGCGACGCCGCGUGGGGGAUGAAGGGCUUCGGCUCGUAAACCCCUGUCAUUCGCGAACAAAGGUGCCGGCCUAACAUGCCGUCGCCUGAUAGUAGCGGAAGAGGAAGGGACGGCUAACUCUGUGCCAGCCGCCGCCGUAACAC
rnacentral:rRNA from 1 species